rnacentral:lncRNA from 1 species
AACAAGAGUUAAAUAUAGGCAUGCACAUGUUUCUUUGGAAUCCUCUCCAUGGCACAACGGGGAAGGUUACCGAGUCCCUGCUGAAGCCGAAGGGGAGGGAUGCUGUUCGCCCCAGCCUGAGAAGCAGCAGGGAGGAGGUAAGGUGAAUCUGUACAUGAUCAGCAAGCCGUGCACCUGGCAGUGAUGUCCUGAGUGCUGGUUGAACAAAGGCUCAUAUUUUUAUUUGUUUUUGUCAUUUGAAAGAAAAGAGCUGGGAGAGCGAGAAUAUUAGCAAUUUACUGUGAGGCUCCAUUAGAUCAAAUCAGCG